GUCGAGCGGUAGAGAGAAGCUUGCUUCUCUUGAGAGCGGCGGACGGGUGAGUAAUACCUAGGAAUCUGCCUGAUAGUGGGGGAUAACGUUCGGAAACGAACGCUAAUACCGCAUACGUCCUACGGGAGAAAGCAGGGGACCUUCGGGCCUUGCGCUAUCAGAUGAGCCUAGGUCGGAUUAGCUAGUUGGUGGGGUAAUGGCUCACCAAGGCGACGAUCCGUAACUGGUCUGAGAGGAUGAUCAGUCACACUGGAACUGAGACACGGUCCAGACUCCUACGGGAGGCAGCAGUGGGGAAUAUUGGACAAUGGGCGAAAGCCUGAUCCAGCCAUGCCGCGUGUGUGAAGAAGGUCUUCGGAUUGUAAAGCACUUUAAGUUGGGAGGAAGGGCAGUUACCUAAUACGUGACUGUCUUGACGUUACCGACAGAAUAAGCACCGGCUAACUCU
rnacentral:rRNA from 1 species